CACAUUCAACUCGGGGAAGUAGCAGGGUAUGAAGCUGGAUUUCUUCCGCUCCCCGGGCCGGCGCACGGGCGAGUACGAAGUAAUCCCAGAUGCACCGUGCCAGACGGCAUGACCGGGAGCAAAUCCGGCGUGGAUGCUACAUUAAUGCCGGGAUGUGACAUCCCCUCCGACCAAAGGGGGCGAUCCCGGUCGGGGAUGGGCCUUCGGCGCAUUAAGUAGUUGGUGGGGCAACGGCCCCCCAAGCGGGCGAUGCGUAGGGGUUUUGAGAGGAAGGUUCCCCCCCUUGGAUAUGAGACCCGGUCCCAACUUCUUCGGGAGGCAGCCGUGAGGAAUUUUGGUCAAUGGCCGGAAGGCUGAACCCACCCAGUCGGGUGAGGGAAUUAGGCCCUUCGGGUUGUUAACCUUUUUUGGCAGGGAGCAAUACGGUCCGAGUGGUGACGGUAGGAGAGUACCUGGAGAAAAAGCAUCGGCUAACUCCGUGCCAGCAGCCGCGGUAAUACGGAGGAUGCGAGCGUUAUCCGGAUUUAUUGGGUUUAAAGGGUGCGUAGGCGGCAUGCCAAGUCAGCGGUAAAAUACCGGGGCUCAACCCCGUACAGCCGUUGAAACUGCCGGGCUAGAGAGGAAGAGAAGUAUGCGGAAUGCGCGGUGUAGCGGUGAAAUGCAUAGAUAUCACGCAGAACUCCGAUUGCGAAGGCAGCAUACCGGCUCCCGUCUGACGCUGAGGCACGAAAGUGCGGGGAUCAAACAGGAUUAGAUACCCUGGUAGUCCGCACAGUAAACGAUGAAUACUAGCUGUCCGUGGGGAUUGACCCAUGGGUGGCACAGCGAAAGCAUUAAGACAUUCCAUCUGGGGAGUAAGCCGGCAACGGUGAAAGUCAAUGGAAUGAACGGGGGCCCGCACAAGCGGAGGAACACACAGUUUAAUUAGAUGAUACAUGAGGAACGUUCCCCGGGCUCAAACACAGAAGGGACAUUCCCGGAAAGGGGAUCGGCCAGCAAUGGUAUUUUGCGAGGUGCUGCAUGGUUGUCGUCAGCUCGUGCCGUGAGGUGUCGGCUUAAGUGCCAUAACGAGCGCAACCCCCACCGACAGUUGCUAACUGGUCAAGCAGAGGACUCUGUCGGGACUGCCGGCGCAAGCUGCGAGGAAGGCGGGGAUGACGUCAAAUCAUCACGCCCCUUACGUCCGGGGCGACACACGUGUUACAAUGGCAGGUACAGAGGGAGGCCAUCGGGCGACCCAGAGCGGAACCCGAAAACGUGUUUCAGUUUGGAUUGGAGUCUGCAGCCCGACUCCAAGAAAGUGGAUUUGGUAGUAAUUGGGCAUCAGCCACGGCGCGGUGAAUACGUUCCCGGGCCUUGCACACACCGCCCGUCAAG
rnacentral:rRNA from 1 species